rnacentral:rRNA from 1 species
UACAGAGAGUGCAAACGUUGUUCGGAAUUACUGGGCUUGAAGCGCACGUAGGCGGCGUUGUAAGUGUCGGGUGAAAUCCCACGGCUCACCCGUGGAACUGCCCGGCAUACUGCGAUGCUAGAGUGUGGUAGGGGAGAGCGGAACUCCUGGUGGAGCGGUGAAAUGCGUAGAUAUCUGGAGGAACACCGGUGGCGAAGGCGGCAUCCUGGACCGGUAUUGACGCUGAGGCGCGAAAGCCAGGGGAGCAAACGGG